rnacentral:rRNA from 1 species
CGUCUAUAUACGUAUAGCAUAUCAAUAAGCGGAGGAAAAGAAACUAACUAGGAUUCCCUCAGUAACGGCGAGUGAAGCGGGAAGAGCUCAAAUUUGAAAUCUUCAAGGUUCUACCUUGACGAAUUGUAGUUUAAAGAAGUGUUUUCUGUUGGAGUUUUGGUAAAAGUUCUUUGGAAUAGGACAUCAUAGAGGGUGAGAAUCCCGUAUUUGACCAUUAUUUCCAACUUUGUGAUACACUUUCAAAGAGUCGGAUUGUUUGGGAAUGCAGUCCAAAAUGGGUGGUAAAUUUCAUCUAAAGCUAAAUACUGGCGAGAGACCGAUAGCGAACAAGUACCGUGAGGGAAAGAUGAAAAGAACUUUGAAAAGAGAGUUAAACAGUACGUGAAAUUGUCAAAAGGGAAGCGUUUGACACCAGUGUUGUUUUCUCGAAAAUCAAUUAAAAAUGGCAGGAUUUUGUGUUGUAUUGACUUUAUCAGCUUUCUGCACUUUUUUCCUUGUCUUUUUUAAUGCACUUUUCGUUUAACAAGUCAACAUCAAUUUCUUUUGCUGUAAAAGGGUCAUUGGAAGGUGGCUUUCUUUUCGGAGAAAGUGUUUAUAGCCUUUGACUUCUGCAGUCGGAGAGAUUGAGGUCUGCAGCGUAGAUCCUUCGGGGUUAGAUGCAUUUGUGCUAAGUUAUAGCCUUUCAUAGACAACUUGUUGACUAUGAUCAGUCAUGUAGCUUACUCGCUUAUGUCAUUUUACCUACGCUUAGGAUGUUGACGAUCAGCUGAGCGCG